rnacentral:rRNA from 1 species
GUACGGGAGGCAGCAGUAAGGAAUAUUGGGCAAUGGGCGCAAGCCUGACCCAGCCAUGCCGCGUGCAGGAUUGACGGCCCUAUGGGUUGUAAACUGCUUUUGUACGGGAAAAAACCCCCGGUCGUGUAUCGGGGUUGAUGUUACCGUAAGAAUAAGCAUCGGCUAACUCCGUGCCAGCAGCCGCGGUAAUACGGAGGAUGCAAGCGUUAUCCGGAUUCAUUGGGUUUAAAGGGUGCGCAGGCGGAACGAUAAGUCAGUGGUGAAAGCCUACAGCUUAACUGUAGAAUUGCCAUUGAUACUGUCGCUCUUGAGUAUAGUUGGAGUGGGCGGAAUGUAUCAUGUAGCGGUGAAAUGCUUAGAUAUGAUACAGAACACCAAUCGCGAAGGCAGCUCACUAAACUAUAACUGACGCUCAUGCACGAAAGCGUGGGGAGCAAACAGGCUUAGAUACCCCGGUAGA